rnacentral:rRNA from 1 species
ANAACGCCCACCAAGGCGACGAGUCGGUAGCGUGGUCUGAGACGGACGAUCACGCCACACGUGGGACUAGACGACGACCGGCCCAGACCUUCCGUAACGGGGAGGCGACGCAGGGUAGGGGUUAACGUUUUCCCGACUAAGGUCGGGAACGAAACGUCCGUCGGACGGAGACAACGACCGCGGUGGGGAAGAAGGCUCUUGGGUUGUAACCCUUUCUCUGGGAAGAAAGUUGCGAAAGCCUGACGGAGCAAGACCGCGGUCGACGCGGCCG